AUUUCUUUGGGCCGCUCCCGCAGCAUAAGGAGGUUCCCAGGCUAGGGGUCGAAUCGGAGCUGCAGCCACUGGCCUAUGCCAGAGCCACAGCAACACGGGAUCUGAGCCAUGUCUGCAACCUACACCACAGCUCACGGCAACGCCGGAUCGCUAACCCACUGAGCAAGGGCAAGGACCAAACCCGCAACCCCAUGGUUCCUAGUCGGAUUCGUUAACCACUGCGCCACGACGGGAACUCCAAGGGGCACAGUCUUUAAGGCAUUAGCCUGCUGUGGCCUCCUUUGCUGGUCAAAGCAAUAAAGGUCUUUUUCUCCUUCAACCCCCCCAAAAAUUAAAAUAAAAACAAAAAUAAAGCCCCGAAGCUGAGUGUGAAAGCCUUUUUUAAGAAGAUAAAAAGGGAAGGAAACAGUAAGACUAUGAAAUAAGAUCACUGUUUCAGGAAAGAUUAGACCUACUGCUCAUUAGUAAAAGCAAGCCCACAGGACAGAAGAUUCAGUUCAAAACCAGGAAGAAUUUUCAAAUAAUCACAAUUCUCCAAGAGUGUGAUUCUAUGAGCAAGUUAAUUCACUGAAUGUUGCACAAAAAUAGUAAAGAAAAGAAAUGUAACUGAUACAAUACAUACACCAAGGAAGAUAGUAUAUGUUUAGUAGAAGAAAGAAUAAUACACAUAGUAUAUAGGCGUGUGUAUGUGUGUGUGUGUGUAGCAAGUAAGCUGGUGAGAGAUGGACAGAUAGAUUGGUACAAAUGAUAGCUAGAUAACUAACUAGCUAGAUAUUAGUGAGAUAAAUGAAUAGAUACACAGACAAGCAGAUAAGUAUUACUGCAUUGUUUAACCAAAUCUUCCAGUUUCCAAAAUGUGGAACCCUAGUCAAGACUCUAAGAGUUUAAGGGCUACGCCUGAAUAACAAUUUGCAUGGACCAUGUACCAGUAAAUGGGAAAAGGAAAAUGACUGAAGGCUUUAGUAAUUAUUUCUAACAUCUGGAUUUGGACAAUUAGUAUUUGUUCUUGAGGAGAAAAUUGGGUAGUAUUUCAUAUUAUCAAAAAUCUAGUGAGUAUUGGGGUUUUAGGAGAUCAUUUUCAAUACAAGGUAAAAAACAAAUAAAUGGUUAAAAGUAUUACUUCGGCAUGUGAGGAAAAUUAAUUUAUCAUGCUUCUUUUGUAAGCAUCAACAUUUGGGACAUCCUACAUCCAAUGUAAUGUUUUUUCAUGUGCUGGGAUUGUGUAGGUGUUUGUGCAUAUAAUAUAAAAAUGAAAACAACAUUCUUGAAAAUUUUAAUUAUAUUCAUCUCACAUAGUAAAUUUAAAAAUUAGCUGUUUAAAAUUUCUAUAAAAGCAAAUCAACUAAAACCAUGACCAUUUAAUUUAUCCAUAUAUAUCCAUAUAUUUACAUCUAUCUAUAUAUAAUCCACAUAUAUCCAUAUAUUUAUAUAUGGCAUAUGCAUAGUUUCACUUCCUUUGCCUAAGCAUCUCCUGGUUGCCCAAAUGAGAAUUCCAGUUCAGAAUCAGACACUUGUUAUCUAAAUGCUUAUAUAUUAUUUUGAGAUAAAAUGAAUUCUGCAAAGGAACAAGAAAAAAAGUAUUUUCAUUUUUAAAUUACAUAUUUCAGCAGAAAGACAACUAAAGGGUUUUUCAACUUAUUUUUUUUAGGUUAUAUAAUGAAGUCAUUAUUUCCAGAGAAUAAUUUCUCUUUCCAACUGCUUGAAACUACUGUCAUAAUAAUUUGAUUUAGAUUAGAAAGAAACAAUCACAGUCUAUUUUCAAUUAACAGACAUAUUUCAUUUUCCAAUACCUCCAUUCUCUUCAUUUCUCCUAAAACUCAUUUUAAACUAAAUAAUUUCAUUCAGGCCAAGCAACUUCUGGAAACACAAUCAAGGGUUACAGUGUAAUUGUGAAUUUUUAAUUUUGUCCUUUAUCUUCUUCUUGGGAACAUUUUGCAUUAACAGAUAGAAACACCAGCUUUUUAAAAUAUUUCCUUAAGGUAAUACACAUCUGCAGUGAAAACAAUAUAUAGGAGAACCACAUUCUCCAAAGAACCAAAGGAAAAACUAAUCCUUUUCUCCAGGACCAGUGUGAUAUAGCAAUGUCAAAAUACGCUUUGUAAGACACAAAUAUAUCAAGAAACAGUAAUUGUUAUAUGUCAAAGAGCAAUUAAAAUGAAAUUUCUAAACACUACAAUGCCAGAUGUGUAGAUUUUUAAAGUCAGAAAAAUCAAAACACAUUCUUCAAAUAUAUGUAAUUUAAGCUAUAAUUUCAGAAGAAAUGUUAUUCUGAAAAUUUAGUAAUCAAGCAGGAUUUUGUGAUAAGAUGUGUAGGGGCCAAUUCAGGGCCUAUUUUUGAGGUAAUAUAUUUAAAUAAAAAUUUGAUGAAGGAAAGGAAAAAUAAUUUAACUCUAAUUCUUGGCUCUAAGAAUUUCACCAAAAACUGUAUAUAUGUAAUUAUCUCAUUAACUCUUUUUAACAAUUCAGGAAAGUUGUUAUCAUUGCCUGUAUUUUAUGGAUGAAGAAACUGAGGAUAAAAAAAAAAAAAAAAAAAAAAAAAAAGGAGUAAUUUACCCAAGAGCAUAUAACUAGCUGAGUAAGAAUUUUAUUUUAUUUAUUUAUUUACUUACUCAUUGUCUUUUGCGCUUUUAGGGCCACACCUGCGGCACAUGAAGGAUCCCAUGAUAGGGGUCAAAUCAGAGCUAUGGCCAUCGGCCUAUGCCAGAGCCACAGCAAUGCUGGAUCCGAGCCACGCCUGUGACCUAUACCACAGCUCACAGCAACACCGAUCCUUAACCCACUGAGGGAGGCCAGGGAUUGAACCCACGUCCUCACAGAUGCUAGUCGGGUUUGUUAACAACUGAGCCACAAUGGGAAAUCCCAAGAGUAAGAAUUUUAAAUCAGACAUUAAUUUAAAAAUCCUUCCUUUAUUGACAUGUGGAUUCUUCAAUACAUUAUACCACAAUUUCCCUAGUAAAGCACAACAAACACAGCAUUGCAAAGAUAUAGGAAAAUAUUGGUAGGAGUACAUUCACACAGCCAUUUAAGAGAGUAAUUUGCUAAUAGCUAUCAAAAUUUUAAACAUAAAAAAAAGCAUAUCCUUGGGAGUUCGCACCAUGGCACAGUGGGUUAAGAAUCUGACUGCAGCAGCUCAGGUUGCUGCCAAGGCAUGUAUUCAAUCCCUAGCAUGGAGCAGUAGAUUAAAGGAUCCAGCAUUGCUGCAGUUGGAGCAUAGGUCACAGCUGUGGCUCAAAUUCAGUCCCUGGCCCAGAAACUUCCCUAUGUCACAGUACAGCCAUAAAAUUUAAAAAAAAAAAAAAAAAAAAAAAAAAAGCAUAUCCUUUUACCCAGUAAUUCACUUUCAGGAAUCUACCCCAUACAAAUUCUUGUUAUGCACAAAUAUAUCAUUGCAACACUGUAAUUUCAGCAACAACAAAAAAAAAGUAGGAUCAACCUAAUGUCCAGAAAUAGGGAAAUAUUUCAAUACAAUACAGUAUGCCCACACCACAAACUUAUACAUAGUAAUAUAAGACUAUGAUAAAUCUACAUGCACUUACAUAAAGAAAGCUCUAGCUAUAUUUUCAAGAGUAAAAGCAGAAAUUUCCUGGAGAGUCUCCCAUUGUGGCUUAGUGGUGUCAAACGUGAGCAGUAUCCAUGAGAAACACAGGUUUGAUUCCUGGCCUUACACAGUGGGUUAAGGAUCCAGUGCUAUGGUGAGCUGUGGUGUAGGAUGCAGAUAGUGGCUUGAAUCCAACAUUGCUGUGGCUGUGGUGCAGGCUGGUAGCUACACUUUGAUUUGACCCCUAGCCUAGAAGCUUCCAUAUACCAUGGGUACAGCUCUAAAAAAGACAAAAAAUAAACAACAACAAAAAAAAGCAGGCAGUUCUUCUGUGGCUCAGCAGGUUAAGUAUCCUGCACUGUCAUUGUAGUGGCUUGAGUAACUGUUACGGCACAGAUUUGAUUCUGGCCUGGAAAUUUCCACAUGCCAAGGAUAUGGCCAAAAAAAGAGUAGAAGCAAAAUAGAAUAUUAAAAAUAACAUGAAAAUAACAUGAUCUUAUUUAUGAAGUUACGUUAAAUUACAGAUAGAUAGAUAGAUAAACAGACACAUUGAGAACUUCCUAUCCUCCAAAGAUCUUGUGAACAUGAUCUAUCUUUAUUCCCAGUAAACUAACUCUUGGAGUUAGUUAGAAUGUCCUCCUCACAAGUCUACCAGAGCCCCAGGACUCUGACAAUCACCACUACCACAUUCAUCAUAAACCAUAUCUGAUAUUUACCAUCACAAAGCACUUUCACUCAAAUUACCUAAUCUGGUCCUCACAAUAUCCAUAAUCAAAGUAUCCCAGAACAGUUCAACAAAAACAAUUACAUGAUUCUGCCAUUUUAUGCUAGUUUAAGCACAAAUUUAUUCAACUGACAAGCACUUAUUGAGGGUUUACUAUGAGCCUGCUUCUCAUAAUAGGUGUUGUUAGAGUAGAAAGAUGAAUCAAAUUGGACAAACAUCCUACAAUGAAUAAAAUAAGCUAUCAGACUAUAUGUGUUGGAAGAGGUGGUGAGUUAUAAGAUAUAUGCACAAAUAACAAAUUUUAAGGUAGACAGUAAAGAGGUGACAUUUAAAAAGUACAAAAAAGGUAGAAACUUGUCUCAAUGAUCUGCGAAUCUUGAAGUCUAGGGGUCUUCUAUUAAGAUUCAAAUCUCUGGUGAGAGGCAGAGCAAGAUGGCAGAGGAGUAAGAGGUUGCGCUCACCUUCUCCCACAAACACAUCCAAAAAACACAUCUACAUGUAAAAUGACUCGCACAGAACAUCAGCUGAAUGCUGGCAGAAGAACUUAAACCUCCAAAAAGGGCAAGAAACUCUUAACAUAACUGGGUAAAACAAAAGAAAAAAAAAAAAGAGAGAGAGAGAAAAGGAAUCAGGACAGGACUAGCAUUCCCGAGAGGGAGCUGUGAAGGCGAAAAGGAAUCCACAUCUUGGGAAGCCACCUAACUGGGGGAAAGAUCAGCUGAGUUGGCAGGACCUCAAAGUCUCCAAGAAAAGCGCAGCAGCUGGACUGUGAACAGCAAAGCAGAGUGAGGGCUGCACAGAUCAUCUGAACCACCAGCCUGGACACCACAAACUGAGAUGCUUGGGCGGGGGCUGGGUGAUGAGACUCAGACUCCAGAGGUCAGUCCUGGGGAAAGGACUGGGGCUGGCUGUGUGCAGACAGCCUGAGGGGCUAAGGGACCAUGAGCCAUGGAAGGAGGAGCAGUAUGCCACGGGCUGAGGAGGGGGAAUGCCACGGCAGAGGGAACCCGGGAGAAUGUCCGGACCUGCAGGAGAGGCAAGGCACCAUUGUUGGGGAAGGUGAGAGAAAAGGGGGCAGAUGCCAUAGGAAACUCCCUGCACUGGAGCGUGCACAUGCCCGCGGGCUCACAGAGAGCAGGGCAGCUCUGGUGCAGGCUAAGGGUGGAAAGAAACCUCUUGCUCGUUUAGGAGAGACUGGGCACUCCUUGUGCAGGCUACAGGUGACCAGGUUCCUCUUGUGUGGGCUAUGGGCAUCAAGGGGCUAAGUGAGAUGUGGUGUCUCGUGCACCAUCUACAGGUGUCAGGGACAGACAGCGGCGGUCGUCUCAGAGGCCAGAGGGAGGCGUGGCUUGCCACCACUAGGGGCCUGUGAGUGGGCUCCACCUGUGACCCCAGUCACCUUAGGUGUUGGCAAAAAAGAAAAAAAGAGUUUACUGCAACCAAACACCAUACUCUGUUGCUCUCACUCCCCUGAAAACACACCCACCCUGCAGCUGCCACUGCCAAAUGCUCUGGUCAGCACUCAGACACUUGGUCACUGUAGCUUCCCAAGACCCUACAACUAGGAGCAGAUUGUGCAGCAGCUUCUUCAUGGGCUAAGUGGGAGAGGGUGCUUCUUGCAUGGUCUGCAGGUGGCGGGGGCAAACUGUUGCAGUUAUCCCUGAUUCCAGAGGUGGGUGUGGCCUACUGCCACUGGGGAUACCUGAACAAAAAUCACUAGCAGCCCCAACCACCUCAGAGGGCACCACAGAGAAGGACAUUGUGAUGGAACACCACCUGUUGUUGCUCUCGUUCCCCUGGGAGCACACCCACACUGCCGCUGCCACUGCCAAACACUCUGGACAGUGCCCAGACGCUUGAUCACUGUCCAUUUCCAGGAACCUGCAACUAGGAGAAGCUUAUGCAGCACAUCCUGUGGGGUCUAAGCAUGAUAAGGUGCUUCUGGCAUGGUCUACAGGAGGUGGGGGCAAACCACCAUAGUUAUCUCUGGCUCCAGAGGUGGGAGUGGCUUGCCACCACUAGGGGUCUGUGAACAGACACCACUUGCAGCCCCAUUCACCUCAAGGGCACCACAGAGGAGGGCACUGUGAAAGAAGACCACCUGUUGGUGUUCUCACACCCCCAAGAAGACACUCACUCUGCUGCUGCCACUGCCAAAUGUUCUGGGCAGUACACACAUUUCCCAGGAUCCUGCAACUAGGGGCAGCCUAUACAGCCCCUUCUAUGUGGGCUGAGUGAGUCAGGUUGCUUCAUACAUGGUCCACAGGUGGUAGGGGCACCACACCACAGUUAUCAUUGACUCUAGACACGGUCAAGACCCACUCCAACUAGGGGUCCCUGAACAGACAACAUCUGUGGUUCCUAUCACCUCAGAGAGGGGCAUUGCAAUCAAACACAAGCUGUUAUUGCUCUCACUCCCCUGGGAACUCCCACACCCUGCUGCUCCUUCUGCAAAUGCUCUGGUCACCUUGAAGAUCUGCUUGAGCUUAUUACCAAUUCCCAGGGCCCUGAAAAUAGGAACAGCCACCUUCCUACAGGUCCUUGCUGCUAUCGAGAGCACAAUGACCAGGCAUUGACUGCUGGCCCUACCCAUUGCUUCCUUCUCCCUGAAAACACGCCAAGCAUCCUGGGAAUAACAGCCUACUCACACUGAAUAAAGAAACAGAAAAUAUUCAAAAUCCCACAUCAAAAAUAAAUAGUAACCCCCAAAUUACAAAGGGGUAUUCUUGCAUAGAAGUAGCCUUAUAAGACUAUAGUUUGGCUUCCCUGAACUCACAGAAAAUGAAAAACAUAAGCAAGAUGAAGAAUCUCAGAAACCAUUCCCAGUUAAAGCAACAGGAGAAUUCACCUAGAGCAGUCAACAAUGAAACAGACCUCUGCAGUCUGACAGACUUUAAGCUCAAAAGGGAGAUAGUGAAAAUACUGAAGGAAUUAAGAUAGCAUAUGAACAGUAAUGCAGAUUCCCUCAGAAAGGAACUAGAAAAUAUAAGGAGCCAAGAAAAACUAGAAAAUUCAUUUGCAGAGAUACAAACUGAGCUUAAGGCAAUAUAGAGCAGAAUGAAUAAUGCAGAGGAAUGAAACAGUGAUAUGGAAGAUAGAAUAAUGGAAAUCACCCAAUCAGGACAUCAGAUAGAAAACUAAAUGAAAAAAACAUGAAAGCAAUAUAAGAGACCUAAAGGGUAAUAUAAAGUGGACCAAUCUACACAUAAUAGGGAUUCCAGAAGGAAAAGAAAAAGAAAAGGGGAUUGAAAAUACAUUUGAAGAAAUU
rnacentral:lncRNA from 1 species